rnacentral:rRNA from 1 species
AUUGAACGCUGCGGCAGGCUUAACACAUGCAAGUCGAGCGAGCGGCGGACGGGUGAGUAAUGCUUAGGAAUCUGCCUAUUAGUGGGGGACAACAUCUCGAAAGGGAUGCUAAUACCGCCUACUAAUAGAUGAGCCUAAGUCGGAUUAGCUAGUUGGUGGGGUAAAGGCCUACCAAGGCGACGAUCUGUAGCGGGUCUGAGAGGAUGAUCAGCCACACUGGGACUGAGACACGGCCCAGACUCCUACGGGAGGAAGCAGUGGGGAAUAUUGGACAAUGGGGGGAACCCUGAUCCAGCCAUGCCGCGUGAGUGAUGACGGCCUUCGGGUUGUAAAGCUCGUUAAUCGGGACGACGGUACCGGAAUAGAAAGCCACGGCUAACUACGUGCCAGCAGCCGCGGUAAUAC